GUGGAUGUAGCUCAAUUGGUAGAGUGCUAAUCAUAGAAUCGAGGCACGGGGUUCGAUUCCUUGCAUCUCCC
rnacentral:tRNA from 1 species